rnacentral:rRNA from 1 species
UUAGAUACCCCACUAUGCUUAGCCCUAAACCUAGACAGCAUUAAUACAAUGCUAUCCGCCAGAGAACUACAAGCGAUAAAGCUCAAAACUCCAAGGACUUGGCGGUGCUUCAAACCAACCUAGAGGAGCCUGUCCUAUAAUCGAUACCCCACGUUUCACCUUACCGCCUUUAGCCAAUCAGCCUAUAUACCGCCGUCGUCAGCCUACCUUAUGAAAGCAAUAAAGUAAGCAAAAAAGUUACCUACUAACACGUCAGGUCAAGGUGUAGCAAACGAGGCGGCAGAGAUGGGCUACAUUUUUUAAAGAAAAAACACGAAUAGAGUAUUGAAACACACCCUUAAAGGUGGAUUUAGUAGUAAGAGAUAAAAGAAAAUAUCUCUUAAACCUGCUCUGAAGCACGCACACACCGCCCG